AGAGUUUGAUCAUGGCUCAGAAUGAACGCUGGCGGCGUGCCUAACACAUGCAAGUCGAACGAGAAAUCCUCUGCUUGCAGGGGAGAGUAAAGUGGCGCACGGGUGAGUAACGCGUGGGUAACCUGCCCUUGAAACUGGGAUAACUUCGCGAAAGCGAUGCUAAUACCGGAUAUUGUCUCCGGGGCUUUGGUUUUGGAGAUGAAAGGUGACCUCUUCAUGAAAGUUGCCGUUUAAGGAUGGGCUCGCGUACCAUUAGCUAGUUGGUGGGGUAAUGGCCCACCAAGGCGACGAUGGUUAGCUGGUCUGAGAGGAUGAUCAGCCACACUGGAACUGGAACACGGUCCAGACUCCUACGGGAGGCAGCAGUGAGGAAUUUUGCGCAAUGGGGGGAACCCUGACGCAGCAACGCCGCGUGAGUGAAGAAGGCUUUCGGGUCGUAAAGCUCUGUCAAAUGGGAAAAAGGCCUUUGGUUUAAUAGGCUGAAGGAUUGAUGGUACCAUUGGAGGAAGCACCGGCUAACUCCGUGCCAGCAGCCGCGGUAAUACGGAGGGUGCGAGCGUUGUUCGGAAUUAUUGGGCGUAAAGAGCGUGUAGGCGGGUUGNUAAGUCAGAUGUGAAANCCCCGGGCUCAACCCGGGAAGUGCAUUUGAAACUGCCUUUCUUGAGUAUGGGAGAGGAGAGUGGAAUUCCCAGUGUAGAGGUGAAAUUCGUAGAUNUUGGGAGGAACACCCGUGGCGAAAGNNNACUCUCUGGANCAAUACUGACGCUGA
rnacentral:rRNA from 1 species